GUCUACGGUCAUACUGCCCUGAACGCACCUGAUCUUGUCUGAUCUCAGAAGUUAAGCAGAGCCAGGCCUGGUUAAUAUUUGGAUAAGGUUUGCACCUACGGACAGCCUAAGUUGAGCCAGGAAACAUGCAGCUG
rnacentral:rRNA from 1 species